CAGCACCUCAAGUGGUCAGGAUGAUUAUUGGGCCUAAAGCAUCCGUAGCCGGCUCUGUAAGUUUUCGGUUAAAUCUGUACGCUCAACGUACAGGCUGCCGGGAAUACUGCAGAGCUAGGGAGUGGGAGAGGUAGACGGUACUCAGUAGGAAGGGGUAAAAUCCUUUGACCUAUUGAUGACCACCUGUGGCGAAGGCGGUCUACCAGAACACGUCCGACGGUGAGGGAUGAAAGCUGGGGGAGCAAACCGGAUUAGAUACCCGAGUAGUCC
rnacentral:rRNA from 1 species